UAAGAUUGCUUAGUGGUUAGAGCGUCAGCCUCGGAUGCGGGAGGUCUCGGGUUUCAUUCCCGGUUGAGUAA